rnacentral:lncRNA from 1 species
UGAGGGGAAGAUCCCCAUUCAGGGAAAUGGCUCCUUGUGUCUGAGAGUUCCUGCACAGCAGCCACUGGAAACACAGCUGAGAGAAAUGGGCCUCAGUCUGUCUCCUCCUCUCUUUCAGGUUCUCUUGGUGGAUUGAGGUCUCUGAGGAGCAGAAACACAAAGCCAUUUCAUUCCUGCUGGAUCUGUGUCUGCAAGGAGCAGAGUGGGAGACACAGACAGGAGAGAAGGUCUUGGAAUUGACCAUAAAAUGUUGACCAUUUUAUUUGCUGAGGGAGUUUUCCGCCACUAUUAUCACAACCGUUUAC